GACGAACGCUGGCGGCGUGCCUAAUACAUGCAAGUAGAACGCUGAAGCGAGGAGCUUGCUCUUCUUGGAUGAGUUGCGAACGGGUGAGUAACGCGUAGGUAACCUGCCUUGUAGCGGGGGAUAACUAUUGGAAACGAUAGCUAAUACCGCAUAACAAUGGAUGACACAUGUCAUUUAUUUGAAAGGGGCAAUUGCUCCACUACAAGAUGGACCUGCGUUGUAUUAGCUAGUAGGUGAGGUAACGGCUCACCUAGGCGACGAUACAUAGCCGACCUGAGAGGGUGAUCGGCCACACUGGGACUGAGACACGGCCCAGACUCCUACGGGAGGCAGCAGUAGGGAAUCUUCGGCAAUGGGGGCAACCCUAACCGAGCAACGCCGCGUGAGUGAAGAAGGUUUUCGGAUCGUAAAGCUCUGUUGUAAGUCAAGAACGAGUGUGAGAGUGGAAAGUUCACACUGUGACGGUAGCUUACCAGAAAGGGACGGCUAACUACGUG
rnacentral:rRNA from 1 species